rnacentral:sRNA from 1 species
UACAAAUAGAUACGGCUCCCUAAGGUGGGUUGGCUCAUCCCCGAUAGAAAGGGGGUGACGCCAUGACAGUAUACGAGGCGUUAAUGUUAAUGGUCGCUUUCGGAUCGCUGAUUGUUGCGAUGCUGUCAUUUAAUCAAAAGAAAUAGGCCCCCUUGAGUUUUGGCGAACACCGGGGACCUUUUUCUUGCUCUAUCCAUCAUCUGAGCCAUCCCCCUUGGGGAAUGUCUAUUGUACAUAGACCGUUUUGGUGUUACCAGCACCAG